rnacentral:rRNA from 1 species
UACGUAGGGGGCUAGCGUUGUCCGGAUUUAUUGGGCGUAAAGAGCGUGUAGGCGGCCAGGUAGGUCUGCUGUGAAAACUCGAGGCUUAACCUCGAGAUGUCGGUGGAAACCAUCUGGCUAGAGUCCGGAAGAGGAGAGUGGAAUUCCUGGUGUAGCGGUGAAAUGACGCAGAUAUCAGGAGGAACACCUAUUGCGAAGGCAGCUCGCUGGGACGUAACUGACGCUGAGACGCGAAAGCGUGGGGAGCAAACAGG